rnacentral:lncRNA from 10 species
UUCUCCCCCUUUGUAAUAAAGGACUGCACUGCUUAUUCUAGAAUGUGGAUUAUAAAGGUGCUGGAAGAUGGAGUGCUAUGGAGAGGAGCUUGUGGCAUAUGUGUUUUUCUGAGCUGUCACUUCUGUGAGCUGGGCUGGAGUAUUGUCCUGUCAAGUCCUGUCAUGAUCUAAGUAUCAAAGGAGCCACCCACAAGUGAAGGAUACUAAAAAUGAAAAGCCAGGCUGCAAACCCCAGGGGAGAAACAUGACAAGGAAAGAGCCUGCAGAGAACAGCUUUCGUCAAUCCAACUGAUUUUCAGUCCACAGACCCCAAGCCUGCAGGAAGCUCUUCAGAGACUAAGUAAGCCCUUGUAGCAAGCCUGAAAAGAUUCUGAAGUCCGGUGAAACAGCUGACGCCAACCAGUUUGAAGACCCCACAUAGGAACAGAAUCAGCAUGAGGACAGUUUCUUCAUCUGUCUGUCCUAUGAUUUCACCCUGCACUCUUUGACCAAUCAACAAUCUUCACACUUCUGCCUGUUCUAAAACUCUUAUAAACUUUAGCCCCAAACUCCUCACGGAGGUGGAUUUGAGGUUUCCUCCCAUCUCUUUAUUCGGUAGCCCUCCAAUUAAAUCUCUUUCUCCUGCAACUUGACAUCUUGGCAUAUUGAUUUGCUGCACAUAUUGGGCGCUGGACCUAUUAUGGCUAUAGUAUCACAAAUAUUGAGAUAAAAUGACAUCUUUUGCCUCCUGAUAUGAUGUAUUGAGAACAUGAGUUACCUCUCUGGUAGAAACACUAAAAAACCUCAAAUUGGGGGGCUAUUCUAUAAAACAACUGGCCUGUGUUUUUCAAGUGUAAAUGGUCAAAAAAGGGGCAAAAUAAUUGUUUAUGAUUAAAAUAAACUAAAAAUAAAAACUAAAUGUAAUGCAUAAUUCUCGGUUGAAUCCUAUACUAGAGGAAGAUAAAAUAGGUAUAAAGGGCAU